rnacentral:rRNA from 1 species
UACGUAGGGUGCAAGCGUUAAUCGGAAUUACUGGGCGUAAAGCGUGCGCAGGCGGUUUUGUAAGUCUGUCGUGAAAGCCCCGGGCUCAACCUCGGGCGUGCGAUGGAUACUGCCGGGCUAGAGGGUGGUAGAGGCGAGUGGAAUUCCCGGUGUAGCGGUGAAAUGCGCAGAUAUCCGGAGGAACACCAGUGGCGAAGGCGACUUCCUGGCCUGUUCUUGACGCUGAGGCGCGAAAGCUGGGGGAGCAAACGGG